CAGCCGACACCGGUUCACAGCAGAGACUGAGCAUGAGUCAGCAUUAUGUGUUAACCUUCAGAGGAGCACGGCAGUCAUCACCCAGUCUGUCCUCUGCACUUCCAUCACUGGAACUCUCUGGAAUUUUAAGAUUGUUUGUACUGCUUUGUAAACCCCCUGAACUUAACUGGCACAUCGCAAAUUAUCCGGAACUGCAGAACUGAAAUUAAAGAUGUGGAAGGAAGAGGUGAUAACGUUAGAAACUCCUCAAGCAUCCUGUGUCUGCCUCUGUCGCCUGUGCAACAUCUCACCUGAACAAAUCUCAUAAAUAAGCUCUAACAGCAGGAGCAGGUGAGUUUUACUGCUGCAGGUUGACAGAGCGAAGGAACAGUCAGAGCAAAGUUGGACUCUCCACAGAGAAUAUAAAGGGCUGCAGUCACUUUCUUUGCUCUGUUGAAAAACAGAAAAGCUGCUGCCUGGAUGUUUGAUCGACGAUCGGCUGUCGAAAUGACAACAGUCAGCGGAAUCAGCCAUGGGAUCGACCGUAGCGUCCUGACUCAAGAGCAGGGAGGGAAACUCUGUGGCAGUUAAAUGCAGGAAGCAGGAUGUGAGUGCACCCGGCCGUGAUGCGGUCGAGCAGAGACAGCGAGGCCCUGUGAAACCACAGCCUGUCAGCCCGACGUCGGAGCGGCAUGAAUCUUCUCAUCGAAUUCUCGGCAAGAAAACGAACAGAGAGCUGAAGUGAAAGUGGAACUUCCAGGUUCUGUUCCACAACUUGUCUUUCAUCCGUGUAAAGCGCAGAAGUCGAAGUCUGCGAAGGCUUCCUGCUGCUCCGCAGAGAGGCUGAAGGGUUUGCAGGGCGGGGACAGGAUUGGCUGGAGCCGCGUGAACUCGCUGUCGAAGUUGCUGACAUCCACGGACUCUCUGACUGACGGCAGGAACGGAGGUUUUACUUUCUUGGCCAGCAGGGCCUCCCAGUCGAUGGUCUGCAGGACAAGCUCCGAGCCUCUUCACCGGAUUCUUCUUCAGCAGCUGCAGACACAUGGUCACAGUCUGUUUCUGUGGCUUGUUCAGAGAACAGCCUGAACUCAACUGAGCUUACAAUCAUUUUCUCCAACUGCAUUCAGAGCUCAGAGCAGCAGGCGAGGGUCAGAGGCUUUUACCUUCUGGAUGAUGGAGACGGCAUCAGGAGGAAGAGAAGUAGGAUACUGCACAUCGUCAUUGACGAUGCUGUCAAACACCUCCUCCUCAUCCUCACCAGGGAACGGAGACUAGCAGGAGGACAGAAAGACGCAGAAACUGAUUCCAUGAUAACAACCUCUCCCACGAGCAUCUCGUAGAUGAGGACGCCCAUCCCCCACCAGUCCACUGCCCGGGUGUAGUUGUCGUCUGUCAGGACCUCAGGGGCCAGAAACUCGGGAGUCCCACAGAAAGUCGAGGUCCGAUCUCCGUGACCCAUCCCUGCCGGAAUACAACGGAAACGACCCAAGAAGAGAUAGGAAGACCACAGGCUCCACAGGAUCACAGGAGGACAUACAGACCUGGUCUGGGCCUCAGUGAAGACGUCGUUGUGGAUGUGGAUCAUGAGGUCGCCG